UACGUAGGGUGCAAGCGUUGUCCGGAAUUAUUGGGCGUAAAGAGCUCGUAGGCGGCUUGUCACGUCGACUGUGAAAACCCGGGGCUCAACUCCGGGCCUGCAGUCGAUACGGGCUGGCUUGAGUGCGGUAGGGGAGACUGGAAUUCCUGGUGUAGCGGUGAAAUGCGCAGAUAUCGGGAAGAACACCCGUGGCGAAGGCGGUUCUCUGGGACGGUACUGACGCUGAGACGCGAAAGCGUGGGGAGCGAACAGG
rnacentral:rRNA from 1 species